GGGCGCAUAGCGCAGUGCUAGCGUGUUUGCUUUGUUUGCUGAAGGGCCCGGGGCUCAAUCCCCGGCGGGUCCA